GCCAGGGUGAGCUUCGCUGGCGCGGAGUGCGGCCUUCAAAGCCGUAGCGGCUUAGCGGCCGAGUCGUUCGAUUCGACCUCACUGGC
rnacentral:tRNA from 1 species